rnacentral:rRNA from 1 species
CGUAGCGGUAAGGUCGGCUAGUCCGGUGAUUCGAUUUGGUUUGGUUAAAAGGGGUGCGUAGGUGGUCUAUUAAGUCAGUGCUGAAAUAUCCCGGCUUAACCGGGAGGGUGGCAUUGAUACUGAUGGACUUGAGUAAAGUUGAGGUGGGCGGAAUUGACGGUGUAGCGGUGAAAUGCUUAGAUAUCGUCAAGAACACCUAUUGCGAAAGGCAGCUCACUAAGCUUUAACUGACACUGAGGCACGAAAAGUGUGGGGGAUCAAAACAGG